GUCUAUAUGUAAGGAUAUAUAGUCUGAUCUGCUCACUGAAUUUUUAAAGAGCCGCGGUAUUUUGACCGUGCAAAGGUAGCAUAAUCAUUAGUUUUUUAAUUGGGGGCUUGUAUGAAAGAUUGAACAAGAGAAAAACUGUUUCUGUUAUAAAAUUUGAAUUUAACUUUUAAGUUAAAAGGCUUAAAUAAUCUAGAGGGACGAUAAGACCCUAUAAAUCUUUAUAUAAAAAGAAAAUUAAUUUAUAUAGGUUGUAAAAUUAAAGUUUGUAUUAUAUUUAAUUGGGGCGAUAGAAUUAUAAAUUUAAGUAACUAGUUAUAAAUAUAGACAAGUUGUUUGAAUAUUAGUUGAUCUUAAUUAGGAAAUAAUAGAUUAAGUUACUUUAGGGAUAACAGCAUAAUUUCUUUUAAAAGUUCAUAUUGAAGAAGAAGAUUGUGACCUCGAUGUUUAAUUAGAAUUUCUUUAUAGUGCAGCAGCUAUAAGAGAGGGUCUGUUCGACCUUUAAAAUUUU
rnacentral:rRNA from 1 species